AGACAGCAGUCGCCGCGGUAAUACGAAGGGUGCAAGCGUUAAUCGGAAUUACUGGGCGUAAAGCGUGCGUAGGCGGUUUGUUAAGUCUGUUGUGAAAUCCCCGGGCUCAACCUGGGAAUGGCAAUGGAUACUGGCAAGCUACAGUGUGUCAGAGGAUGGUGGAAUUCCCGGUGUAGCGGUGAAAUGCGUAGAGAUCGGGAGGAACAUCAGUGGCGAAGGCGGCCAUCUGGGACAACACUGACGCUGAGGCACGAAAGCGUGGGGAGCAAACAGGAUUAGAUACCCCAGUAGUCCCUGUCUCUUAUAC
rnacentral:rRNA from 1 species